rnacentral:rRNA from 1 species
UACGUAGGGGGCUAGCGUUGUCCGGAUUUAUUGGGCGUAAAGAGCGUGUAGGCGGCCAGGUAGGUCCGCUGUGAAAGUCCGAGGCUCAACCUCGGAAUGUCGGCGGAAACCCUCUGGCUAGAGUCCGGAAGAGGAGAGUGGAAUUCCUGGUGUAGCGGUGAAAUGCGCAGAUAUCAGGAAGAACACCCGUGGCGAAGGCGGCUCUCUGGGACGGUACUGACGCUGAGACGCGAAAGCGUGGGGAGCGAACAGG